GCUUAACGCGAAGAACCUUACCUACGCUUGACAUGUCCGGAAUCCUGCAGAGAUGUGGGAGUGCCCGAAAGGGAGCCGGAACACAGGUGCUGCAUGGCCGUCGUCAGCUCGUGUCGUGAGAUGUUGGGUUAAGUCCCGCAACGAGCGCAACCCUCGCCAUUAGUUGCCAUCAUUCAGUUGGGAACUCUAAUGGGACUGCCGGUGCUAAGCCGGAGGAAGGUGGGGAUGACGUCAAGUCAUCAUGGCCCUUACGGCCUGGGCUACACACGUGCUACAAUGGUCGGUACAAAGGGUUGCCAAGCCGCGAGGUGGAGCUAAUCCCAUAAAACCGAUCGUAGUCCGGAUCGCAGUCUGCAACUCGACUGCGUGAAGUCGGAAUCGCUAGUAAUCGUGAAUCAGAAUGUCACGGUGAAUACGUUCCCGGGUCUUGUACACACCG
rnacentral:rRNA from 1 species